GCCAGGUGCAGUGGCUCAUGUCUGUAGUCCCAGCUACUUGAGAGGCUGAGGUGGAAGGAUCGCUUGAGCCCAGGAGUUCUGGGCUGAAGUGCGUUAUGCUGAUCGGGUGUCUGCACUAAGUUCGGCAUCAAUAUGGUGAUCUCCUGGGAGCGGGGGGCCACCAGGUUGCCUAAGGAAGGAUGAACCAGCCCAGGUCAGAAAUGGAGCACAGGUCAAAACUCCUGUGCUGAUCAGUAGUGGGAUCAAGCCUGUGAAUAGCCACUGCACUCCAGCCUGGGUAACUUAGCGAGACCCCAUCUCUU
ensembl:misc_RNA Metazoa_SRP Metazoan signal recognition particle RNA